CACACACUCAAGCUCAGCGCCUCACUCUCCCUCUCUACCUCUCGGCUCUCUCCUCUUCUCUCCCUCUCGUCUCUCUGUCUCACCGGAAGUCAGCCGCACGCCGCCUCGCCGUGAAGGAGCUCGGCCGCCGUCCAUCUGGUCUUCCUCCUUCGGCUCCUGCUCGGACAAGGGCGCGGGUAGCUUCCUCUCCAUCCCCUCGUCUGGAACAGGGCAUCUGCCCUCUCCGCCAUAGGGAGCGCACGGCCGCCGCCUGGCCGCCUCCUCCGUCGUCCGUCGUGGCUGAAAUCGCGGUGGAGGCCGAGCUUCGUCUCGCCGGAAAGAACCGCCGUUCGUGUCGCUGCGCCGCUGCUUCCGCCGCGUCGCCGGAAAAGAUAAGUCUCUCCCCCUUUUUCCCGUAUCUCUCUCUCUUUUUUUUUUUUAUUUUUACAGAAGCCCUAACCAUCUCUCUCUCUACCCUCUUCUCUCUCGUUUUGGCAGGACAAGGACUGGACGGCAGUUGCCGCCGCGCCGCCGUUGCCGGCGCCGAACAGCCGCCUGCUGCUCCCUCCUUCCCCUCUCACGAUUCGAACAACACACACGCAAGCAAAACACAAGGAACUCUCCAAAUUUCAGUCACACGCACAAAACACACAUAGAGCACUUAGGGUUUCAAUUCUGUUCAUUUUCAUUCAUUUCUAUUUACAAAAACUGAUCUGUACUUGUAAUAGAUAGAAAUAUAGUAAAAUGUGUGCGUGUGUAUUAUUCUGUUGGUGGUUCUCUGAUGGUAAUAAGCUGAUGUAAUUGAAACAAUAAUAGUCUAAAAGAAGUGGUAAUGGAUGCGUGUGUUCGAUCUGUUUUCA